UGCGGGCAUUCUGAGAUCCUUUGAUUGUACUUUCGUUUCGAAUAUUUGAUAUUAUGAGCUAAAUAUAGUAUAGCAUAUAUAUUCACGAUUUCUGUAUGCUAAUGUUAAGCAUUAAAUUCUUGUCUUCCUUUUUUUUUUGAUUUCGAUUUAAAAUUCUUG